CGCACCAAGGUGUUCCACCUAAACAUUAACAACAACGACAGCAUUUGCGUUGACAUUCUCAAGGAACAGUGAAGCCUGGCUUUGACCAUAUCAAAGGUCCUCCUAUCAAUCUGUUCGUUGCUGACGGACCCCAACCCCGAUGAUCCUCUGGUGCCUGAGAUCUCUCACAUGUACAAGACUGAUCGGGCCAAGUAUGAGUCCACGGCACGCUCCUGGACACAGAAGUAUGCCAUGGGUGGAUGUAUAGGCAUGCAAUGUCGAGAGAGUUCUUCUCACCUAUAUAGCUAAAGUCGAAGACGACAAACCAGGUGAAUUAUUGGAGUUGCUGGACGAUAAAUCAUCGGUCACCUGAACCUUC